rnacentral:misc_RNA from 1 species
GCUGUUAUUUCAUUGUUGCAACCAGCUCCAGAGACCUACGAUCUCUUCGAUGACAUAAUACUUCUCUCAGAUGGGCAUAUUGCAUAUCAAGGUCCACGCGAACAUGCUUUGGAGUUCUUCGAUUCAAUGGGUUUCAAAUGCCCCGAGAGGAAAGGCAUUGCAGAUUUCUUACAAGAAGUGACAUCAAGAAAAGAUCAGCAGCAAUACUGGGUGCGGC